GCCCUUUCCCCGGCAGCACAUAUACUAAAAUUGGAACGAUACAGAGAAGAUUAGCAUGGCCCCUGCCCAAGUGCUUAUUUUAAAGCACACUUCUAUGUCACU